CCUACGGGGGGGCAGCAGUGGGGAAUAUUGGACAAUGGGGGGAACCCUGAUCCAGCCAUGCCGCGUGUGUGAAGAAGGCCCUCGGGUUGUAAAGCACUUUCAGUGAGGAAGAACGCCUGGUGGUUAAUACCCAUCAGGAAAGACAUCACUCACAGAAGAAGCACCGGCUAACUCCGUGCCAGCAGCCGCGGUAAUACGGAGGGUGCGAGCGUUAAUCGGAAUUACUGGGCGUAAAGCGCGCGUAGGUGGCUUGAUAAGCCGGUUGUGAAAGCCCCGGGCUCAACCUGGGAACGGCAUCCGGAACUGUCAAGCUAGAGUGCAGGAGAGGAAGGUAGAAUUCCCGGUGUAGCGGUGAAAUGCGUAGAGAUCGGGAGGAAUACCAGUGGCGAAGGCGGCCUUCUGGACUGACACUGACACUGAGGUGCGAAAGCGUGGGUAGCAAACAGGAUUAGAUACCCCGGUAGUC
rnacentral:rRNA from 1 species